rnacentral:rRNA from 1 species
CGCGUAGGCGGAUCGUUAAGUCAGGGGUGAAAUCCCAGAGCUCAACUCUGGAACUGCCUUUGAUACUGGCGAUCUUGAGUGUGAGAGAGGUAUGUGGAACUCCGAGUGUAGAGGUGAAAUUCGUAGAUAUUCGGAAGAACACCAGUGGCGAAGGCGACAUACUGGCUCAUUACUGACGCUGAGGCGCGAAAGCGUGGGAGCAAACA